UACGUAGGGGGCAAGCGUUGCUCGGUAUCACUGGGCUUAAAGGGCGCGUAGGCGGUGCGGUACGGUUUCGGUGAAAUCCCUCGGCCCAACCGAGGAACAGCCGGGGCUACGGCCGCGCUAGACGGCAUCAGGGGACAGUGGAACUCCCGGUGGAGCGGUGAAAUGCGUAGAUAUCGGGAGGAACGCCGGUGGCGAAAGCGACUGUCUGGGGUGCCUGUGACGCUGAGGCGCGAAAGCCAGGGGAUCAAACGGG
rnacentral:rRNA from 1 species